rnacentral:rRNA from 1 species
ACUCAAAGGAAUAGACGGGGACCCGCACAAGCGGUGGAGCAUGUGCAUUAAUACGUCACUAACCGUAGAACCUUACCAGGGUUUGACAUCCCCGGACCGUCCGUGAAAGCGGAUUUUCCUCGCAAGAGGACCGGGAGACAGGUGUUGCAUGGCUGUCGUCAGCUCGUGUCGUGAGAUGUUGGGUUAAGUCCCGCAACGAGCGCAACCCUCACCCAAUGUUGCCAGCGUAAAGUCGGGAACUCUUUGGGAACUGCCCGUGUAAGCGGGAGGAAGGUGGGGAUGACGUCAAGUCAGCAUGGCCCUUACAUCCUGGGCUUGACACAUGCUACAAUGGCCGUUAAACAAAGGGAAGCGAAGCCGCGAGGUGGAGCCAAUCUCAAAAAUACGGUCUCAGUUCGGAUUGCAGGCUGCAACUCGCCUGCAUGAAGUCGGAAUCGCUAGUAACCGCCGGUCAGCUAAACGGCGGUGAAUACGUUCCCGGGUCUUGUACACACCGCCCGU